rfam:Glossina morsitans morsitans, isolate Yale, WGS project CCAG01000000 data, contig: ctg10005802
AGGUCCCACCAUCGGUAGCGUGCUAAUGACAAUGAGCCUCCGCGAUGUAAUACCUAACGGUGGUCCCGCGGGGGAGAGUGGGAGAAUGGGUGUGUGGGCGGGUAGUUUUUAGUAUCUAAGCGCCAUGGAUUGCGAAUCGUGCAUACUGCUACUAAGAACCAGUAGUAUCUUUUGAAGAUUUUCUACCUCCUGCUCAC